GAUCGUACGACGACUGACUAGUAUAAUGUCAAUACGACUACGCCAAAGGGCGAACUGGGCCGCACGUGCAUGCUCCCCGUCAGCCAUGGCGGCAGCUGGAAAUAGAUUAGAUGUUUGAUCAUGGCUCAGAACGAACGCUGGGGGCGGGCCUUACACGUGCGAGUCGGACGCCUGUAGCACUACAGGAGUGGCAGACGGGUGAGGAAAACGAGGGAACGUACCCUUUGGUUCGGAAUAACUCAGGGAAACUCGAGCUAAUACCGGAUAAGUGCGAGAGCAGAAAGAUUUAUCGCCGAAGGAUUGGCCCGCGUCUGAUUAGCUAGUUGGUGAGGUAAUGGCUCACCAAGGCGACGAUCAGUAGCUGGUCUGAGAGGAUGAUCAGCCACAUUGGGACUGAGACACGGCCCAAACUCCUACGGGAGGCAGCAGUGGGGAAUAUUGGACAAUGGGCGCAAGCCUGAUCCAGCCAUGCCGCGUGAGUGAUGAAGGCCUUAGGGUUGUAAAGCUCUUUUACCCAAAAAGAUAAARAACUGUACCGGGAGAAUAAGCCCCGGCUAACUUCGUGCCAGCAGCCGCGGUAAUACGAAGGGGGCUAGCGUUGUUCGGAUUUACUGGGCGUAAAGCGCACGUAGGCGGAUCUUUAAGUCGGUGGUGAAAUCCCAAGGCUCAACCUUGGAAUUGCCUUCGAUACUGGGGGAUCUUGGAGUAUGGUAGAGGUUGGUGGAACUGCGAGUGUAGAGGUGAAAUUCGUAGAUAUUUCGCAAGAACACCAGUGCGCGAAGGCCGGCCAACUGGGACCAUAACCUGACGCUGAGGUGCGAAAGGCGUGGGGAGCAAACAGGGAUUAGAUACCCUGGUAGUCCACGCUGUAUUUUUUUGAAUGGCUAGCCGUUGGCCAGCUUGCUUGGUCACGUGGCGCAGAUAACUACUUUAAGCAUUCCGCCUGGGGGAGUACGGGCGCAAGAUUAAAACUCAAAGGAAUUUGUACGGGGGCCCGCACAAGCGGUGGAGCAUGUGGUUUAAUUCGAAGCAACCGCGCAGAACCAUUACCAGCUUUUGUAACAUGCCACGACGGUUUCCAGAGAAUAGAAUUCCUUUUC
rnacentral:rRNA from 1 species